UCGUGACAUGUAAAUAGAGAUAGGCCAGAAAAGAGGGUGUGGAUGCAUUGCAUAGUUACACUUAGCGGCUGUUGAGUAACAACAGAAAGCCCCACUUUGAAUGCGCACACAAAGUAUCACUCCGAAAUAAUGUUGAUAUUUAAAGUAUAUAUAUAUUUUAAAAAAAUGUCCGGUGAAGGCUGUUGCAGGAUUGCGCCUUUACCUCUUGAGAGCAGGGGCGAUUCUGAUUGGCCAGAGCCACGUGUCACGGUACAGAGAUGGAGGCGGGUGGCCGUAAUGGUUUUUUUGUCGUGAAAUGUUCAUCACCACCGCAUUGCUCUGCCCCGGGUGUUGGUGGGAAAGGUCAAAGGCCUUGGGUUCAUUGGGCUGGCAACCAUCAUCGCUGUCAACCACACGGAACCGUGGAGACGCACGGAGAGACGGAGACGCAGAGAGGCACAGGGGUGCUGCUUAACGUACCAAUCAAUCGGAAAGCCGGUGCCACUCCACGAUGUCGAAACGCCAAAUGCCAGCAGAACAAAAUCCGCCGUCGACAAUGUCAACUUCCGAACGGUGCAUCGUGGGUACAGCUCGUCGAGAUGAGUCGGUUGCCGCAUCGCCGGCCAUCACCAGAACUAAGAAUCGCCGCGUCACGGACAUCGUGUGAGAGCCGGGGUAGCUAUGGGACCCCGCGGGGUUGCCGCCGUGUGGGUCCAUAAUCUCGCCGGACUUUAUCGUUGUCACAUUACGUACCGGGGAAACCGCUUUAGUUGUGGCGCGUUUGUCGUUGAACGCCGGCACUUCGAAGGAACACAUCUAGCUACGUUAA